rnacentral:rRNA from 1 species
GAGGGGGAAAAAUUAAUUAAAUUUAAUUAAUAAAAUAAAUUUUAAUAUUAAAAAUAUAUAUGGGGGUUAAAGUAAUUUUAAUAGAAAAAAUUUAUAAAUUUAUAAUUAAAUAGUAUUGUAAAAGAAAUUUGAAAUAAAAAAAAAAUUAAUUAAAAAUAAAGAAAAUUUGAUUUAUUGUAUCUUGUGUAUCAGAGUUUAUUUAAUAAUUUUUUUUUAAAAAAAAAUCUCGAAUUUAAAAGAGUUAAUUAAUUAAAAAAUUUAAUGUGGUAUAAUUAUUUUUAAUAAUUAAUUAGAAAUGAAAUGUUAAUCGUUUUUAAAUAUAUCUAGUUUUUUUAGAAAAAAAUUUAAUUUUAAAUUAAAAUAAUUUUAUUUUUUUAAUAAAAAAAAAUUAAAAAUUUUAAAUUUAAUAUUUUAAGGGAUAAGCUUUAAAUUAAAAAGUUAUAAUAAAAUUAUUUUAAUUUAAAAUUUUUAAAAUUUAUAUUGUUUAAAAAUUAUAAUUUAUUAUAAAAAAUUUUAUUAAAAUUAAAAUUUAAUAUUAAAAAAUUUAAUUUUUUAUAAAAUAAUAAUUUUUAAUAAUAAAAAAUUAGAAAUUAUGAUAAAAUUAGUAUAAAUUAAUAUAUAUAUAUAUAUAUAUAUAUAUUAUAAUGUAAAAAUUAAUAUUAAAAUUAAUUAAAAGGAAUUCGGCAAAUUAUAAUAUUCACUUGUUUAUCAAAAACAUGUCUUUUUGAUAAUAAUUUAAAGUCUAAUCUGCCCACUGAUUUAUUAAAGGGCUGCAGUAUAUUAACUGUACAAAGGUAGCAUAAUCAUUAGUUUUUUAAUUGAAAACUUGUAUGAAAGAUUUGAUGAAAUAUUAACUGUUUCUUAAUUAUUAAUAAAACUUUAUUUUUUAGUUAAAAAGCUAAAAUAAAUUUAAAAGACGAGAAGACCCUAUAGAGUUUUAUAUUUGAAUUUUAUUUUAAAUAUAUAUAUAAAUUAAUAUUAAUAAAAUUAAAUAUUAUAUUGGGGUGAUAGAAAAAUUUAAUUAACUUUUUUUAAAUAAUAAACAUAAAUAAGUGAAUAAAUGAUCCAUUUAUAAUGAUUACAAGAAAAAAUUACCUUAGGGAUAACAGCGUAAUAUUUUUUUUUAGUACAUAUAAAAAAAAAAGAUUGCGACCUCGAUGUUGGAUUAAGAUAAAAUUUAAAUGCAAAAGUUUAAAAUUUUGAUCUGUUCGAUCAUUAAAAUCUUACAUGAUCUGAGUUCAAACCGGUGUAAGCCAGGUUGGUUUCUAUCUUUAAAAAAUUAAAAUAUUUUAGUACGAAAGGAUCAAAUAUUAAAAAUAAUUUUAUAAAAGGAAUAUUAAUAAUAUAAUUAU